rnacentral:rRNA from 1 species
UACGUAGGGGGCAAGCGUUGUCCGGAAUCAUUGGGCGUAAAGCGCGUGUAGGCGGCCCGAUAAGUCCGCUGUGAAAGUCCAGGGCUCAACCCUGGGAUGCCGGUGGAUACUGUCGGGCUAGAGUCCGGAAGAGGAGAGUGGAAUUCCUGGUGUAGCGGUGAAAUGCGCAGAUAUCAGGAAGAACACCCGUGGCGAAGGCGGCUCUCUGGGGACGGUACUGACGCUGAGACGCGAAAAGCGUGGGGGAGCGAACAGG